CCUACGGGUGGCAGCAGUGAGGAAUAUUGGUCAAUGGACGAGAGUCUGAACCAGCCAAGUAGCGUGAAGGAUGACUGCCCUAUGGGUUGUAAACUUCUGUUAUAAAGGAAUAAAACGAGGCACGUGUGCCUUUUUGCAUGUACGUUAUGAAUAAGGAUAGGCUAACUACGUGCCAGCAGGCGCGGUACUACGGAGGGUCCGAGCGUUAUCCGGAUUGAUUGGGUUUAAAGGGAGCGUAGUUGGGUUGUUAAGUCAGUCGUGAACGUUUCCGGCUCAACCGUAAAAUUGCAAUUGAUACUGGCAGUCUUGAGUACAGUUGAGGUCGGCGGACUUCGUGGUGUAGCGG
rnacentral:rRNA from 1 species